rfam:Schistosoma margrebowiei strain Zambia genome assembly, scaffold: SMRZ_contig0001143
AUCCAUUUGACGAGUCCCAAAUAGGACGAAACACGUAUCAAACUGGAU